GACGAACGCUGGCGGCGUGCUUAACACAUGCAAGUCGAACGGAAAGGCCCUGCUUUUGUGGGGUGCUCGAGUGGCGAACGGGUGAGUAGCACGUGAGUAACCUGCCCUUGACUUUGGGAUAACUUCAGGAAACUGGGGCUAAUACCGGAUAGGAGCUCCUGCUGCAUGGUGGGGGUUGGAAAGUUUCGGCGGUUGGGGAUGGACUCGCGGCUUAUCAGCUUGUUGGUGGGGUAGUGGCUUACCAAGGCUUUGACGGGUAGCCGGCCUGAGAGGGUGACCGGCCACAUUGGGACUGAGAGACGGCCCAGACUCCUACGGGAGGCAGCAGUGGGGAAUAUUGCACAAUGGGCGGAAGCCUGAUGCAGCAACGCCGCGUGCGGGAUGACGGCCUUCGGGUUGUAAACCGCUUUCGCCUGUGACGAAGCGUGAGUGACGGUAAUGGGGAAAGAAGCACCGGCUAACUACGU
rnacentral:rRNA from 1 species